rnacentral:rRNA from 1 species
CUCAGAACGAACGCUGGCGGCGUGGUUGAUACAUGCAAGUCGAACGGGAAACAGUCCUUCGGGACUGGAGUACAGUGGCGGACGGGUGAGUAACGUAUAAUCAAUCUGCCCUCAAGACUAGGAUAGCCAUCCGAAAGGAUGGGUAAUACUGGAUAAGCCCACGGUGAGGCAUCUCACUGUGUGAAAAGGAUUGGGAUCUUCGGACCUUUCGCUUGAGGAUGAGAUUAUAACCUAUCAGUUAGUUGGCGGGGUAACGGCCCACCAAGACGACGACGGGUAGCCGGCCUGAGAGGGUGGACGGCCACACUGGAACUGAGACACGGUCCAGACUCCUACGGGAGGCAGCAGUGCUGAAUUAUUCGCCAAUGCGCGAAAGCGUGACGGUGCGACGCCGCGUGCGGGACGAAGGCCUUCGGGUUGUAAACCGCUGUCAGGGAUUAGAAAACCUAUAUGGUUAAUAGCCAUGUAGCUGAUCAGUCCCAAAGGAAGCACAGGCUAAUCUCGUGCCAGCAGCCGCGGUAAUACGAGAUGUGCGAGCGUUGUUCGGAAUCACUGGGCAUAAAGGGUGCGUAGGCGGUAUGCCAAGUCGGGUGUGAAAUCCCUCCGCUUAACGGAGGAACUGCACUCGAUACUAGCAUGCUAGAGGGUCAAAGGGGCAAGCGGAAUUCUAGGUGUAGCGGUGGAAUGCGUAGAUAUCUGGGAGAACGCCAAGGGCGAAGGCAGCUUGCUGGGUGACAACUGACGCUGAGGCACGAAAGCUAGGGGAGCAAACAGGAUUAGAUACCCUGGUAGUCCUAGCCGUAAACGAUGAGCACUUUGUUCCGGGAGAUCUGAUUCUUUCGGAGCCGUAGCUAAUGUGUUAAGUGCUCCGCCUGGGGAGUAUGGUCGCAAGGCUAAAACUCAAAGGAAUUGACGGGGGCUCACAC